rnacentral:tRNA from 1 species
UCAUAUUAAGUAUUUUAUACUUUUAAUUUCCAAUUAAAAGAAGAGUUUCAU